AAUAAAGGGGGGGGCAGCUAACCCCUGCAAGUCGAGCGGCAGCACGAGAAGCUUGCUUACCGGGAGAGCGGCGGACGGGGGAGUAAAGCCUAGGAAUCUGCCUGGUAGGGGGGGGAUAACGCUCGGAAACGGACGCUAAUACCGCAUACGUCCUACGGGAGAAAGCAGGGGACCUUCGGGCCUUGCGCUAUCAGAUGAGCCUAGGUCGGAUUAGCUAGUUGGUGAGGUAACGGCUCACCAAGGCGACGAUCCGUAACUGGUCUGAGAGGAUGAUCAGUCACACUGGAACUGAGACACGGUCCAGACUCCUACGGGAGGCAGCAGUGGGGAAUAUUGGACAAUGGGCGAAAGCCUGAUCCAGCCAUGCCGCGUGUGUGAAGAAGGUCUUCGGAUUGUAAAGCACUUUAAGUUGGGAGGAAGGGCAGUAAACUAAUACGUUACUGUUUUGACGUUACCGACAGAAUAAGCACCGGCUAACUCUGUGCCAGCAGCCGCGGUAAUACAGAGGGUGCAAGCGUUAAUCGGAAUUACUGGGCGUAAAGCGCGCGUAGGUGGUUCGUUAAGUUGGAUGUGAAAUCCCCGGGCUCAACCUGGGAACUGCAUUCAAAACUGUCGAGCUAGAGUAUGGUAGAGGGUGGUGGAAUUUCCUGUGUAGCGGUGAAAUGCGUAAAUAUAGGAAGGAACACCAGUGGCGAAGGCGACCACCUGGACCAAUACUGACACUGAGGUGCGAAAGCGUGGGGAGCAAAAAGGAUUAAAUACCCUGGUAGUCCAAGCCCUAAACAAUUGUCAACUAGCCGUUGGGAGCCUUGAAACUCUUAGUGGCCCAACUAACGAAUUAAGUUGACCGCCCGGGGGGGUACCGGCCCCCAAGGUUAA
rnacentral:rRNA from 2 species